AUUGAACGCUGGCGGCAGGCCUAACACAUGCAAGUCGAGCGGCAGCGGGAAAGUAGCUUGCUACUUUUGCCGGCGAGCGGCGGACGGGUGAGUAAUGCCUGGGAAAUUGCCCAGUCGAGGGGGAUAACAGUUGGAAACGACUGCUAAUACCGCAUACGCCCUACGGGGGAAAGCAGGGGACCUUCGGGCCUUGCGCGAUUGGAUAUGCCCAGGUGGGAUUAGCUAGUUGGUGAGGUAAUGGCUCACCAAGGCGACGAUCCCUAGCUGGUCUGGGAGGAGGAUCAGCCACACUGGAACUGAGAAACGGUCCAGACUCCUACGGGAGGCAGCAGUGGGGAAUAUUGCACAAUGGGGGAAACCCUGAUGCAGCCAUGCCGCGUGUGUGAAGAAGGCCUUCGGGUUGUAAAGCACUUUCAGCGAGGAGGAAAGGUUGGCGCCUAAUACGUGUCAACUGUGACGUUACUCGCAGAAGAAGCACCGGCUAACUCCGUGCCAGCCGCCGCAGUAA
rnacentral:rRNA from 1 species